ACACAUUUCUCACCAAUCGAGCAGUCCGGAUACCAUGGCGCGUCCAGUGUACCGCCAUUGUGAAGCUGCCACUGACUGAAAAUCAAUCCAGAAAUGUAAAUCGGUUAUUACUAUUUAUAUUCUGAAUGCCGGCAUAUUUCGGCGAUUUAUAAGAGUCAUGUGGCAGAGUAAAGUCAUGUGGACGAGCGUAAAAACAGUUGUUAUGACUUCCACUGAAUUGCCGCGUAAAUAAUCGACAGUAACAUGAGGGAAUUUCCGAUAGUAGAAUUUCCGGAAUUUUGAAUGUACAAAAGGUUCCGGCCAAGAAGGCGGUACGGUAUGGAAGAUCGCAUGUUCCUGCCUAUCCACCAUUGUUUAUAUUACACUAAAUUACUGUUCCGCUUCGGAAUAACAUCAUUUUCAAGUUUACUGAAAAUAAGUUAUUUCUGAGGGUGGAAUGAUUUAUUCCCAUAUUAAAUUCAACGAAGGAGGUGAUUGGCGACAUUCCUUCCAAAUAGCCCGAGAUAUCGCCUUUCUCUUUAUUAAACUCCAAAAUCACAAGCUGAGCAUUGUAUUGAUCGGUUCUCACAGAUAUUGGCACUUAACAGUCGAUAUCAGCAGGAAAGAAAGGAUUAUAGGUUUCCCUGUCAGUUUGGGUUUCAGUUGCUUUAUUCACUUUUGAAACAACAACCUCAGGGGAAGUCAUUGAUAUGGUAUUGUUCCUUGCCAAAAAUUUAUUCAUAUUUAAGAAAAAUUCGUGGAAGGAUAAAUUAACGAACUGGGGACAAAAAAAUUAUGUGGGUUCUUAGAAAUAAUUUCACAUGAAAGAAGAACAAAAAAUUUUGAAUUGGA